GUGAAGGCCAGGGCCUGUCUUCAGCCAGAGCUUCCCUCACUCACUAUCUUGUUUGCCUUCUUCCUCCUUGAAUCAAGGAGGAAGAAGUGUCUAUUGAGUGCUGGGAGGGGAGCUCAGGCAACCUCUGAAGUCUCCACCUGGUGAACACAGGGCCACUGCACACAAAGGGGAGGAGCAGGCGACUGAGCAGUGGAAGCUGGAGUGAGGCAGAAGACCCGUGGAUCCAGCGCUUUCAAGUAGGAUCACAAGCUGGAGUUGUCACAUGAUUCAUUUCCUUGUAUUAUGGAAGCCACUGCGUUUAUGAUUUACUACACCUUGGCAUGUGUCUAACAUCAAAUGCAUAGUUAAUUAUGUUUUGUUUUAUGUUGUACUCAUUUGCAUAAAAUCAUGUUAGUUCCUUUUAUUUCAAAUGUAAGUAGC